UGAGCGCUAGCGACAGGCUUAACACAUGCAAGUCGAGGGGCAGCAUAACGAAAGCUUGCUUUGUUGAUGGCGACCGGCGCACGGGUGAGUAACGCGUAUCCGAACCUUCCCGCGAGUAGGGAACAGCCCGGCGAAAGUCGGAUUAAUGCCCUAUGUUCUCCGAUGACGGCAUCAGAGUUGGAGUAAAAGAUUUUAUCGCUUGCGGAUGGGGAUGCGUCUGAUUAGCUUGUUGGCGGGUAACGGCCACCAAGGCGACGAUCAGUAGGGUUCUGAGAGGAAGGUCCCCCACAUUGGAACUGAGACACGGUCCAAACUCCUACGGGAGGCAGCAGUGAGGAAUAUUGGUCAAUGGGCGGAAGCCUGAACCAAGCCAAGUAGCGUGAGGGAUGACUGCCCUAUGGGUUGUAAACCUCUUUUGUUCGGGAAUAAAGUUCGGGACGUGUCCCGUUUUGUAUGUACCGUUCGAAUAAGGACCGGCUAAUUCCGUGCCAGCCGCGGC
rnacentral:rRNA from 1 species